CUAUUCUUAAUGAUUCUACCUCGAGUCGUAUAAUUAUUCGUUGAAAGAAGAAAAAAUCAUGCGAACAUUAAUCAUGUAAUAAUGUAAAAAAUCUGUGGGGCAACAGCUUCAUAAAUUGAUUCAAAUUUAUAAGUACUUUUAAAUUAGAUUAGUAUUUUUUAACCUACCGCAUAUUCGCAGUAAUCCAUCUUCGCUUAAAAAUGGGUCUAAUUUAAAAAUUAUGAACACUACUAUGAGCGAGUAGCUUCGAAUGCUUUGCCUACGCUUCAGGAAUUUAAUACUUUGUAAACUUAAAUAAACAAAUGUCGAACUCUCGACCUCCAACUUCGAUGUCUACAAACCUAUAAAUGAUGUUAUGGCAUCGACUCGUCCAGCAGAUUUUUUGUAGGCGAUUCUUCAUUAAGUUUACCCGAAGCCGAAUUCUGAAGCGCUCUUGGGAGUUAAUCACUAAAAUUAUCAAGAAGACUUUAGGAAAAGAUGUAGUUGCAAAUUUUUGAAAUACAUUAGCUACCAGGGUAUAUUCUGCUUAAGGCCAUAUCGAACGAUAAUACCGCGUACGCGUUACGCCCAAUAAGAAAGGCCCAGGAUGCAAACCACUCAUUACUUAUGCCCAAUACAAAUAUGGCUGAUAUAUUUUCCGUUAGUUUUAGCAGAUUUAAAUUGCGCUUUACAUUGUUAAGGUUUUUCCUCCAUGCGUCGAAAAGAUUUUGAAUGUUUUUGACAUCAAAUAUGUAGUGAAAGCUAUUUAGGUUAAAGUGUUUAUUAUAUAAAAAAAGAUUCUACUUAAUUAUUGAAUUUUUAAAUUUUGAUUGCAAAUAACUUACAAUUUGCUAUUUCAUCAAUGGUUUAGUAAAUUUUUCUAGAAGUAUCUCUAUCAGUAUAGCAUUUUUUUAUUUGAUAUCACUACUUAUAGUCGACUGCCUUUCAAGUAAGUGACGAAACUUCAUACAGGUUAUAAAAUUAAUCGUGCAAUGGAAGAGUCAUACGGCGAAGAAAGUCAUGCUUCUUCAGAACCAAGCGAUGAUCAGCUACUAACAUGUCCAAGUUUUCGUUCGUAUUCUUCCCUUGUACUUCUAACCUGCUCCAAAAUUGGCGAAGAUGAUGAAUGCCGCUUGGUUAAGUUAAACAACACGAUAAAAAAGUUAUCAGAUCUGAUCGACGAUCCCAUAAACAAACAAGAUACCCCGUAUAUCGCGUGCCUACUUUGCAAAUUUCUAAGAUACAACGGCUCCGACGGAUACUACGUGAAGCACCUACCCCAGAUCGGCGAAAUCCUUGAAUUCGUCGCUCUAUGCGCAAGAAUGUCCAGCGAAUAUCUCGACAUCCUGUACCAGCUACUCGAGCUCUGCUCGAAACCAUUGCUUCUACACUGUACCUCUGAGAUACUGACCUGUGCAAAAACACUCCGACGCUACUUCAGCUUUUUAGGCUAUCUGAUGAUCCUGGUGCCGACGAGGCGAGCUUUCAUUAUGGCCAAAACAGCGAUCGAGGGACUUGUCACCCAUGAGAAGUCGAAGAAGAGGAGGAGAGACGCGGUGAAGCCGGAUGCGCGCCGCGAAGCCGUGGAAGCAUCGAGGCUUCCAGUUACCCUCGACGAGCUCGCGGAAGUCGUCUCCGACGAAACUUAUCCGGAUAUUCUCGAGAUUAUCCUGGCGCUUGUUUCCGUUUCGCAAGUUUGUUGUCACAGGUUUCUGGAAACUGGAAUAGUGAAUCAAAUCAUGCUGAAAAUGCGUCCGUUCUACGGAUGCGAAUGUCCUUGUAUUCCUAAUAUGGAUGAUGCAGAUUUACAACUUGAUAAGGAGGAUUAUUACAAGUCGUUGGAGUUGAGCGUGAAAAUUCUCUGGAGACUGAUGAAGUCGAGGAUACUUUCGAGCGAGUUGACGGAAAAUUCACAAAACUCAAAACCACCAAGUCAAGCUGCUCUAAGAAGCUUAAGAGCAUCGUUUCGACGGGAAGUGUUACGCGCCGGUCGCAGUUCUCGCAGCCGGAAGUUGCGCAACGAGCUAGCGAAUUUGAUUUUGGCGAAUCUAAUGCAACAGAGCCGAGGCUCGGGCUCGACUUGGAAGAUCGUCGAGUCCGGAAUAGCUGAUGACAUAGCGGACCUCGUCGUCGCUACUGAAUUCGGGACAUGUGGUACUUGGGCCGAGACGGCGAUUAUUGAAACAGACUCACUCACUGGGUUAACGUUCAAGAAGACGCUGCUGUUGAGCAUAGCCUUGAUUGUGGAAUCGCAACCGAAUGCUGCUGAAGCACCGAAGAACAAGCGCAUAGUGUCUGGGGUUCUUCAACUCGUCGAUCUUUUCGCGGCUACGAAAACGCCCUGGAAUCCCGAGCAGAUCUGGCAUCUUUUCAAAUAUGCGUUUGACACCACAGUUUGGGAAAACGUGAUAUUCGCAUCGCAAAUGAAAUGAGUUUCAUACACAACAUACAUUCAUAGAUAAAAUCUUGUGCAAAUAUAAACUCUCAGCUUAUAACGAAAAUAACUGACUACCUCGAAACGAUUUGAAGCCCAAAAAUAAUAUACAACUUUCGGGAUGCUGUAUGAAUUUAAAUAUUCAUUUAUUAAUUUGACAAACGGAUAUCAGCAAAGCAUUAAAAAGUUAUCCUUAUUUAAAAGCUGAAUGUAUCUGUUGAAAAUCGUCCAAGUGAAAUCUUAAGAGUAAUUGAAUCGUUGCUAGCUUUUGAUAAAAAAUUACUUAUUGGCACUUGGUCGUAACAACUCCUCUGCUUGCGCACACAUACACUGUGAUAUUAUUAU